rnacentral:rRNA from 1 species
CCUACGGGAGGCAGCAGUGAGGAAUAUUGGUCAAUGGGCGCAAGCCUGAACCAGCCAUGCCGCGUGCAGGAAGAAUGCCCUAUGGGUUGUAAACUGCUUUUAUUUGGGAAUAAACCUCUUUACGUGUAGAGAGCUGAAGGUACCAAAUGAAUAAGCACCGGCUAACUCCGUGCCAGCAGCCGCGGUAAUACGGAGGGUGCAAGCGUUAUCCGGAAUCAUUGGGUUUAAAGGGUCCGCAGGCGGAUUUAUAAGUCAGUGGUGAAAUCCUAUCGCUUAACGAUAGAACUGCCAUUGAUACUGUAAGUCUUGAAUUCGGUCGGAGUGGGCGGAAUGUGUAGUGUAGCGGUGAAAUGCAUAGAUAUUACACAGAACACCGAUAGCGAAGGCAGCUCACUAGGCCUGAAUUGACGCUCAGGGACGAAAGCGUGGGGAUCAAACAGGAUUAGAUACCCUGGUAGUCCACGCUGUAAACGAUGAUUACUCGUUUUCGGCGAUAUACAGUCGGAGACUAAGCGAAAGUGAUAAGUAAUCCACCUGGGGAGUACGAUCGCAAGGUUGAAACUCAAAGGAAUUGACGG